GAUGAACGUUGGCGGCGUGCCUAAUACAUGCAAGUCGAACGAAGACUGUAGUAAUACUGUCUUAGUGGCGAACGGGUGAGUAACGCGUGGGUGACCUGCCCCGAAGUGUGGGAUAACAGUCCGAAAGGAUUGCUAAUACUGCAUAAUAUCCAAGAGAUUAGAUGCUUUUGGAUUAAAGGAGUAAUUCGCUUCGGGAGGGGCCCGCGUCCCAUCAGCUAGUUGGUAAGGUAAUGGCUUACCAAGGCGAUGACGGGUAGGGGACCUGAGAGGGUGGCCCCCCACAAUGGAACUGAAACACGGUCCAUACACCUACGGGUGGCAGCAGUAGGGAAUAUUGCUUAAUGGGCGAAAGCCUGAAGCAGCAACGCCGCGUGGACGAAGAAGGCCUUCGGGUUGUAAAGUUCUUUUAUAUGGAUGAGGAAGGACAGUACCAUAUGAAUAAGUCUCGGCUAACUACGUG
rnacentral:rRNA from 1 species